UACGUAGGAGGCGAGCGUUGUCCGGAGUUACUGGGCGUAAAGCGUGCGCAGGCGGUUUUGUAAGUCUGUCGUGAAAUCCCCGGGCUCAACCUGGGAAUUGCGAUGGAGACUGCAAGGCUAGAAUCUGGCAGAGGGGGGUAGAAUUCCACGUGUAGCAGUGAAAUGCGUAGAGAUGUGGAGGAACACCGAUGGCGAAGGCAGCCCCCUGGGUCAAGAUUGACGCUCAUGCACGAAAGCGUGGGGAGCAAACAGG
rnacentral:rRNA from 1 species